CAGUAGCCACGGUAAUACGUAGGUGGCAAGCGUUGUCCGGAAUUAUUGGGCGUAAAGCGCGCGCAGGCGGUUUCUUAAGUCUGAUGUGAAAGCCCCCGGCUUAACCGGGGAGGGUCAUUGGAAACUGGGAGACUUAGAGUGCAGAAGAGGAGAGUGGAAUUCCAUGUGUAGCGGUGAAAUGCGUAGAUAUAUGGAGGAACACCAGUGGCGAAGGCGACUCUCUGGUCUGUAACUGACGCUGAGGCGCGAAAGCGUGGGAGCAAACAGGAUUAGAUACCCGCGUAGUCCCUGUCUCUUAUAC
rnacentral:rRNA from 1 species